rnacentral:rRNA from 1 species
CUCAGUUCGGAUCGAAGUCUGCAACCCGACUUCGUGAAGCUGGAUUCGCUAGUAAUCGCGCAUCAGCCAUGGCGCGGUGAAUACGUUCCCGGGCCUUGUACACACCGCCCGUCAAGCCAUGAAAGCCGGGGGUACCUGAAGUACGUAACCGCAAGGAGCGUCCUAGGGUAAAACUGGUAAUUGGGGCUAAGUCGUAACAAGGUAAC